ensembl:lncRNA
GUACACAAGCAAUAACAACAACAAACAUAACAAUUUACAAAAUAAUAAGGAUAAAACUUUGAGCAAAUAAAUAAAACAAAUUAAAGUAGCAGGAUGGAAAAAAUUAUGUGUAAUAGGCUAAUGUGAACAGGUGAGUUUUGAGUCUGGACUUAAAAAGAGGGAGGGAAGUGAUGUUUCUUAUCUCAGGAGGGAGGGAGUUCCAAAGACGGGGGGCAGAGCAGCAGAAAGCCCUGCGCCCCACGGUGGCUAGCCGGGGGGGAAGGGAUGGAAAGCGAAAGAGAGGAGGAGGAUGUGAGACACAGAGAAGGAACGGUGAUCUGAACCAUGUCAGAGAGGUAUGAAGGCGAGAGAUGAUGGGUAGCCUUGAAUGUGUACAAAAGUGUCUUGAAAUUGAUGCGGUAUUUAACCAGAAGCCAGUGAAGCUGCUGCAGAGCAGAGCUGAUGUGGUGCAUAGAAGGGGUCCUGGUGAUGAUACGAGCAGCAGAGUUCUGGACACGUUGAAGCUGAUGGACAGAUUUUUUUUUUUUUUUGAAAAUAUUUUUUAUUGAAAAAAGAAAACAACAGUACUUGCAGUUACCAAAAUACAAUCAACCUUUCUUCAUUUUCCUAAGUAAAUAAACACACAUAUAUAUGAAAAAAACCCACAACGCCCCCUCCCCCCAGUCCCACACAGAUCAACACAACCAUCAAACAUAUUAGAGGAAUAUAAUGAUGGACAGAUUUUUGACUACGACCAAAAAGAAGAGAGUUGCUGUAAUCGAUCCAGGAAGUGACCGGGCUAUGAACAAGAAUGGCAGCGGCAUAUGGGGAGAGAAAAGGACAGAGACGAUUAAUGUUGGAAAUAUGCAGUGAUGUCAUUGACGUGGGAGUUAAAAGAUAGAGUGCUAUCAAGGAUGACACCCAGAUUUUUCACAAAUGGGGAAACGGAGACCGGCGAGUUAUUGAUUGUAAUAGAAAAGCUAUUAGUUGUGAAUAGCGUUUGUUUAGUGCCGACUAGGAGGAGCUCAGAUUUGUUACUAUUGAGUUUGAGAAAAUUGUAAGAGAACCGCGAAUUUAGUUUGGCUAAACAGAGGGUGAGGGAGGACGGGGGGAGAGCAGAAUCAGGUUUAGUGGACAAAUAAAGCUGGGUGUCAUCAACAUAACAGUGAAACAGUGAAUAUUGUAUUUACGAAAAUGUGUCCAAGCGGAUGAAAAGAAGGGGCCCUAGGACAGGUCCCUGGGGCAUACCUGCAACCAGAGGAAAGAAAUCAUCAGCUCUCUGUUUCACAUGGACCUCGACAUCGAAAGUGAUCCAUGGAGCUGGCAGUCAGGUCACCACCAGAUGGUACAUGGCCAUUUUACCAGAUAACUGGUGGAGGCUCAAACAGCCUGACGUUAAAGCUCUGCUUACACACCUGCCCACUGAUCCGUGAAGACUGAUCAACAGCUCACUCCUUAAACAGAUGACCUUCAUCGUCAACAACAGGGCUGGGCCGUCGCUCCUUACCAGCUGACCACCUUCUGAACCUUCCAGUGAGCUGAUGAUGCUGCCCUCUCUGUUCUCACCUGUUAUUAAUCUGUCUCUUUUCCACAGCAUGUCUUUAUCCUGUCUUCCUUCUCUCACCCCAACCAAUCACAGCAGAUGGCCCCGCCCCUCCCUGAGCCUGGUUCUGCCGGAUGUUUUUUCCUGUUAAAAGGGAGUUUUUCCUUCCCACUGUCGCCAAAGUGUUUGAAGAUUUAGGCUUAAAGCUGAAUUUAAAUAAAUGCGAAAUUCAGAGCCAAGUAUUUGGGAGGUGUGAUUAUUGCGUCUGAUAUGACACAGUUUAAAGCACAAUGUUAUCUGGGGCCUCAGGGCUUCCUGUGAGGACGCUGCCGCACGUCCUGUAAUAAACCACGCUGUUUAAGAACACCUCACUCCAGGACACCACAGCAUCAAUGAGAGCACACACUGCGUGUCAUUAAAGAAUGUGAAGUUAGACUGUUCUUCAUAAACAGCCCUGAUGUGACACGCUGUCGCUUGGUUGAUUUCCAAACAUACUUUGAAAAGAUGUCACAAAAUCCUACCGUGAAACAUGAUUAUUGUUCUCCAGAGGAGUCAUGAAUACUUUCAGUCACAAACCGGUGUUACGUUAUAUUAGACUGCACUUCCUGUCGCAGCGUCCUGACCCGGGAACAGAGCUGCAGACGUGACGUUCACCUGUGACAAAUAUUUCUACUUUAUUCACAGAAACAAAAACAAAAAACACCAAGGAGAGAAAAACAGAAAACAUAGGAAACAUUUACAGUAUGAACACAAUCAGCUGAUGGUGUUCUUGUUUUUUGGCCACAUGUUUUUCACCACUUCCUGUGUGCGGUGUUGAGACAAUAAAAGCAUCAAAGCCACAUUCUAUUUCUUUUAUGACUGAAACAGCAAAAACACACAAGUGGAAAAACAGCCGCCCACGUCACGUGACCCGCUGCUGCCACAAGACGAGCGCCUGAAGAAGAAAACAUCUGUACACCAUCACCUUUCUGAAACCUCUAAGCCACCACACCUGUCCCCAUCAGGUUCACUCAGAUCUCAGGUGAGUCCAGUUAAGAUGAGCUGAUUGGUGGAGGUGGUUCAGGGGGCGGGGCCCAGCCUACUUGUCAUAAUUCAGGUUGUUCAAGUUGUGCUCUUGUGCUCUGUUCAGGUGACUGAGAAACAAAGUGAGGCUUCAGCAAGUGUUUAGUGUAGUGUCAGCAUGCUGAUGUCCUACGCCACCUGAACACAGCACCAGCCCCCUUUACUCAUCUUUACAGUUUAAAUUAUAAACACAGUCUUCUCCUCCGGUUAGUGAAGCAGCAGCAGCUCAGAUUCAUGACAUCACUGUACACAGAGGCCACGCCCACUGUAGGAUGGCAGGCUGUGUGCUGCAGUUCCUCUAAUGUCCAGCAGAGGCAGCAGUGAGUCAGCCCCACACACAUGUUUACAGCCUGAUACACAAAGGGUCUGGCCCCUUCAUGACACCUGUUUGCAUUAUUAGGGGUGUGGCUUCUGCCUGACAGGUGGAUGGUGACACAAGCGGCUGUAGCUGCUAGCAGUCUGCUUCACCUGAGCUGCACCUCCUGACUGUGUUUGUGCAGUUGGAGCCUUUUGGAGCUCCAGUUGGAGUGAGACGCUGAGCAGGUAUUGCUUUGAUCACUGUUGUCAAGACGAACUUUUAUAAAUAAAAUUACAGUACAGCAGCUGUUUGCUUACUUCACUGACAGGAGAAGAAAUCCCCCCCCCCUCCCCCCAUUGUUGACAUGGCAACACAAACAUCUCUGUUGUCGUAGUAACACCCAGGUUUCGGCCUCAUAUACAGAGCAUCAUCAGUAAAUUUCUAUUUACAGGAUAUAUUUGUACACAACAGUCGGGCCACCUUUACAAGGUGAAAAAUGUCCCAGCAUGCAACAGAAACCACCCAGUCGCCUUCAGCUGCACACGUGACAAAGGUCUGAUCAGGUGAUCACAAAGCCAGGUCACAUGAUUGACCUAAAUCACAAGGACAUGAGUAAAAACUGUACAGACGACAUCCUCCUCUUCAUCAGCGGCGAGAUGAAGGUGUUUACCAUAAUAAGGACAGUUGGAGACGAACAGAGCCAAACUGAACCACACUUUGUCCUUGCUGCUUCUUUUGGGAUAUUAUUUACUGUUAGCAAGUAGCUCACAUUUGGGUGAGUGCCCCACGAUGGAAGACUGGCAGAGGCCCCGCCCCCUAAAGCAAAACUAAAAGCAUAAAAAAAUAAAUAAAACUAAAUAAACUAUAAAAAAAAACAAAAAGGAAAAAUAAAUAAUUUCUUUGACAAUACUGGGCACGAUCAAACCCACUACUGUAACAUUAGCAUUUAGCAAUCAUGCUAUAAACUAAGCGAUCGUCGACCGUUUUCAGAUUAGAAACAAGCUGUUAGCUUUACCUGACUUUAUCUUAGCUACCUUCUGUGGUUAGCUCGACAUAAGAGUACCAUUAGAGUUAGCUUUCUUCAGCAGGUAGCCAUGUUAAAAUAGUUACGGAACUUUUGAAAUGUCAGUAUUUUUAAAGCUAACUGUGUCACAUAUAUAAUAUUAAGUACUGUUAUCUAACAGUUCAUAAAGUUAGUCUUAUUAUAGUCUUACCCAGAGAUAGCAGAGAGUCUAUUCAAUUUUAGACUACUGCUUACUCGUUAGCUUAGGCCACUUCCUAACUGUAGUUCAUGUUAAGUCUGAACUCAUCACAAUACUUUUAUAGCUACCUAUUUCAAGCUAGUCUUCCAGCUAGCUGGUUUCUGUUAACAGACUGCUACGUAAGUAUCAGCCUGUGUCUCUGCAAACAUGACAAGCAUGAUCAGCGUGAUCCAACACAUUUACUCUGUUUUAAUAGUGUUAGCCUUAACAGUCAGUUACAUUUUCAGACUGAAGCAAAUUCAGAAUCGUCACUGUUAGCGAUGGGUAAUCUGGGAAUAGUUUUCUCUUUAUUAUUAUUAUUUUAAACUAAGCACACUCAUCUUAGCUAGGUCACCGCUAGCCAUUAAAUGUAGCUUACAAUAAGUUUAUCUUUGCCAAUAUUAACUUUAAGCUAUAUUAGCCACAAGAUACAUUAGUGUUAUUUAAACAAAACAAAACUGCUGUUAGCUUCCGUUAGCCUUUAGUAGCACUGCAACUGUAUCUCAGUGUGCAGACCGGACAGUUUCAGACUUUAUUGAUCAAUCAGAUGUUACUGAGAACAUGAAAUACUUUUUUUUUUUAAAAUUAAAGUGCUUUUCCCUUUCUCAUUUCCUGUUUCUGUGGCAAAUGUUCAUGUUAAACAGGAAGUUCAGUGUGUCUGCAGCUACUGGGAAUUAUGAGGGUUUUUUUUCUAUUCAUUGAUCUGUGUGAUGUCACAGAGAAAAGCUCCACCCAUCUGUUGUUCAAGUCUUCUGCUUGUGAGAUACAGCCAAUCAGAAUAAAGCACGUUUAAAGGCGGAGGAGCUAAACCGGCUUGUGUGAGACAGCGGCUGAGCUGAGGCUCAAGAUGAUGGGGACUCAUGCUAAGCCGCUCUGUGAGAGCUAACGUUGGAAUGAGCAGAACGAUCCACCUAACAGAGUUUUAUGGUUUUGAGUCGUCUGUGUUUAACACUGGCUCAAUAAUUAUGCAUAUUAGUUUCUAAGCUCCGCCUACACAGGUAACCAAAUGCAUGUAGAACUAAUGUCACACAGAUGUUGAACUGCAUGGAUUCACCCGUUAGAAAACUUGACAAGUAGAAUAAACCACCUCCCACUUUGCCUCUGGGUUAUUUUUCUGACAUCAGAGGAUCAUUUUACCUUCUUUACCUCAGACUCAGGGGGCAAAGGUCAAAGGUGGUAAGCUUCUAUCUUUUCGCCUUGUCACACGUGGAGGAUUUCCUUUGGACCGCUGCUCAAACACAAGCAGAUGUGGUUUCACGGUGAGGGCACUCAUUAUUAUCACUUGUAAUAAUCAGCAGAUGGAGUAGAUUAGCUCCGCCUACACCAGGUACAGCAUUAAAAUCUGGUCAGAUUAUUUGCUCCUUCCUAUCUGGUCUGCUCUGCGGCUCUGUCAUCUGUGAUGAGUGUAAUAGGUCCAGAGUGAAACCUCCACCUGUGAGAAGCUGAUUUCUAACAAACCUUGCAGCAAGAGUAAAGAUCAGUUCAGCUCGACUCGUCUCCAUCACUGCCCAUCAGCCACUCCCUCACCUGCAGAGCGACGGCACAGGUGGGAUGGAAGCCCAUUUCUGCCCACAAAUGGAAACACACUUGCUGCAAACGUCUGAACGUUUUACUCUACUUUGUAUUUUGGGGGCGCUGAGCCUUUAUUAGUCAGCAGAGAGCGGGCAGGAAGUGGCCGUGGGGAAUUGAACCUGCACCUAUGAGGUGCCUGAAGGUCUCACCUGUGAAAUAUUUUUUUGUCAUUCAGACACGACCUUAAAUAUUCGAUUCAUCUUUUACUUUAAAAUUCAUUUCAGCC